UACGUAGGGUGCGAGCGUUAAUCGGAAUUACUGGGCGUAAAGUGUGCGCAGGCGGCCGAGCAAGUCGAGUGUGAAAGCCCCGAGCUUAACUUGGGAACUGCGCUCGAAACUACUUGGCUAGAGUGUGGCAGAGGGAGGUGGAAUUCCACGUGUAGCGGUGAAAUGCGUAGAUAUCGAGAGGAACACCUGCGGCGAAGGCGGGUUGCUGGGCUGACACUGACGCUGAUGCGCGAAAGCUAGGGGAGCGAACGGG
rnacentral:rRNA from 1 species